CGAUCUGUCGGGGCGACGCCUUCCCGCUCGGAAGAACCCUAAUUGAUGGGCCGGUAAAUCAAUCGUUUAUCACGAUGGAGUUGAGUGACACGUUGAGGGACCAAUAAGCAACUAAGAGAAGGGAGGAACGACUGUUGAAGUUUAGACAAACUCAGGCUUCAAAGGAUUCGCUCUAAACUUGAUAACCCGAGGCAGACAGCACCCACCUGACACCCAGCCCUACACAUUGUUUGUCUGGCAGCGAUGGUCCCUGGUCCCUUGGGGAGUUGCCAACCUACUUGUUCCAGAAAGGGUCCUUAAACCUCUGCGAGCUUGUGACAAGGAGUUAUGCAAACAGGUAUUGGCUUCCCUAGUGUGGGAGUGAAGCUACAAGGGACAGGACAACUGGGACUAGCCACACGAGCCUCGCUGGGGUGAGCACCUGUGAACACCAUCUUUUACUCUCAAAACUCACUCCAUUCUGAAUACUCUUUAAAAAGAGAGACUGGUAUAACUACGCCUCAUGUAUUGCCAGGGUUGGCUGGAAAGGAUUCUUUCUCCAUUUCCAGCUGGCCUCAGCAGGAGACUCUACAGUGGUGGGCAAGGAUCUAGCUCAGGCCAGUCUAACUAUUCAUAUCAAGUGGGCCACAGUAGUACUUUUGACAGAGAAUUGUGGGCUGCACACCAACCUGUCAUGUGGGGGGAAGCGAGGCCAAAAUUUGACACCCUGCCCAGCCUUCCCAAAGCUGGUUAAGCGAAGAGCUGGGCUUUGGGGAGGAGUUGCAAGCUUCUGGCGGUGCCCUAGAGCCCUCCCAACUCCUUCCCAAGCUGGCAAAGUGCUAACUAGGCUUCGGGAAGGACGCAAAAAAAAUAAAGUAAAAGCAUCACUUCACACAGAAAACAGGCAUGUCAGGGAGAAGGCUAGGCUAGAACCUGUCACACCAACAUGUUUAGGUUAUAUGUCGAGAGGCAAUUUUUGUGAGGCCUGCACUACCACUCAGUCAGAUAUGGUAUAUAGCCCAAUCACUUCAGUGAAACUAGGCCUCUGGCAGACCCUCAAGCUCCUUCCCCCAGUAGUGUCUCUCCCCAUGAUUAGGGGGGGGGGAAGCACAACAGGGUAGGCCCAACACACUCCCGUUUUCCAUUCCGUGUGUAUCUUUUUUAUUGAUUCUCAAUUGCACAGAUUCAUUUGGACCCUCAAAGAAGAAAAGGCAAGUGGUGAACAUUGGGCAAGGAAAUGGCAAAGGCUCCCUAACCAGGGAGAGAAUGAAAGCAUAAAAAAACCCGCCACCCCAAAGUUCUCCCACCAUGAAAAUGGUUAAGAGCCAAAAUAUUGGUCACAUUCACAGUAUACAUUUAAAGUACUCCUAAACUACUUUAACAGUCAUGGAGAAUCGUGGGAACUAUGAUUUGACAACAGUGCUGGGAAUUAUAGGUUUGUUGGGUCAUCGCACAGAAACUACAGUUUCCAGGAUUGUUUGGGGAAAACUGGCUGUUAAAGUGGUAUAAGAGUGCUUAGUAAUGUUUUAAAUGUAUGGUCUGGGUGUGACCAGCGGUUAACAGUCUAUCUCCUCCUGUAAGAGAGCACAGCCUGGGAUCCGUAGCAGGUUUGUUCACGAUGGUGUUCUGCAAAAUCAAGGUUGACCAACCAAGGAGUGUAAAAUGGCCAUUGGAACUGGGAGUGAGAAGUGUCUGAAAAUUGGUUCUUCAGUUUCUACCACGGUUGAAGAAGAAUGUGGCUGGAAUUAAGAUUUAUCCCAGGCAGAAAGUAGUUGAGUGUUUCAUCCCUGGCUGGUCAAUUUAGUCUCCCUUAUGAGCGAUUCCAGAAUUUCUUCACAGAUAUAGAGUGCACGGGGGACAUGGAAACAGCCUGCAGAGAGAGACAUGGGGAGGAAUGAAAGGGGGCAGGAUAAAAAUGCUUUAAAUAAAUGAAACAAGACAGGGAUGCUGUCUCCCAAACACCCUCUCUUACUGCAUUUCCCUAACCACAGCUUGGUUUUGGGACAUUAAAGUAUUUCAAGUCAUGUAUCUUAAACAAGUAAGCUAGCAAGGUUUAGUGGCAGAAGCAACCCUAACAGGAAAGUAGAUUUAUUUGGAACCAUCAAGGGCAGCUCUUGGCUCAUUUGAACAGCUGUGAGAAACUUCAUAAAAACGAGGGAAAUGGUAAAAAGGCUGAAAUCUCUCCAGAAUACCAGCAGGUUACUAAAAAAAUUCACCACAAUGGAAGUUUAGCUAGCAGAAUGUAUAUUACAGAUCAGAAUAAGUACCACCAAGGCUAAGAUGAUUCCAGUGUGGCAAAUCUUAAAAUGCAAGCCUAAGUUGACCUGGGACUACAGUAAGCCCCACUGAACUCAGAAUAAGCUUUUUCUGUGUAGACAUGGUUAGGUUGCAUAAUUUGUGCAUGAACAACACAAGUAAGGUUUUUUGGGGAAGCAUUCUUGCUUUGCUUCAAGAGGCUCCCCCAUUAGUGUGUGUCCAUUAGCCCUAAGAGAAUAAAUUAUGGCUUCAGUUUAAUACAGUGGUACCUCGGUUUGCAAACGCAAUCCGUUCCGCGGAGGCGUUCGCUCGCCGAGGCAUUUGCCCACCGAAGGCAUGCUUCUGCGCAUGCGCGAGCUGCACAGAUCGCGUCUGCGCAUCCGACACUGCGGAACCCGGAUGUAAACACUUCCAUGUUCGCGGUGUUCGUAAACGGAGGUUUUCAUAAACGGAGGUAGUCUUAAUCUGAGGUUCUACUGUAGUAACCUUUAAAAUCUGCUGUAUCAAUGUAUGUACAGUAUUGGUAUCUUCUUCUUUUUUUUGCCCUUUUACAUGUCCACCAGGCAUGAAUACUUUAUUACGGUCGAAAACCAGCUCUUAUAAAAAUUCCUUUGGAAGAACAAUUCCAAAGAACCUAUCAUACAUGUGACGCUUUAUACAACAAUAAAAUUGAUAUUUAUAAAAGCAAUGGGGAUAAGAGUGCUUAAAGCUUAAAACUUAAAAAGCUGCCGCAGGAAACUGAGCCUGGGUCGCUCAGGGAACUGUGUUUUGGGACAUUCAGACGGGCUGGUACUUCUCAGGAGGGAGUCUAUGUCUGCAUAUCUGGACACAGAAUCUGGCGACUGUCCUGGUUAUCUUCUGGUCUUUACCUAACAGGAGCAGGUUGUAUAUUUGCUUUUCCGGGCCUACUGACCUCGCCAGUAUGGGGUCCAAGAUCUCCCUGCAUGCCUCUUCAUAGAAGAGGCAUCUA